AUUGUUUGGUGGCGAUAGCGAAGAGGUCACACCCGUUCCCAUGCCGAACACGGAAGUUAAGCUCUUCAGCGCCGAUGGUAGUCGGGGGGUUCCCCCUGUGAGAGUAGGACGCCGCCAAGCAAG
rnacentral:rRNA from 1 species